ACGUAGGAUGCGAGCGUUGUCCGGAAUUAUUGGGCGUAAAGAGUUCGUAGGUGGCAUAUCAAGUCUGGUGUUAAAGACCGGGGCUCAACUCCGGAAGGGCACUGGAUACUGAUAAGCUAGAGUAUAGUAGAGGCAAAGGGAAUUCCUAGUGUAGCGGUGAAAUGCGUAGAUAUUAGGAGGAACACCAGUGGCGAAAGCGCUUUGCUGGGCUAUUACUGACACUGAGGAACGAAAGCCAGGGUAGCGAAUGG
rnacentral:rRNA from 1 species